rnacentral:rRNA from 1 species
UUCCAGACUCCUACGGGAGGCAGCAGUGGGGAAUAUUGCACAAUGGGGGAAACCCUGAUGCAGCGACGCCGCGUGAGUGAGGAAGUAUUUCGGUAUGUAAAGCUCUAUCGGCAGGGAAGAAAAUGACGGUACCUGACUAAGAAGCCCCGGCUAACUACGUGCCAGCAGCCGCGGUAAUACGUAGGGGGCAAGCGUUAUCCGGAUUUACUGGGUGUAAAGGGAGCGUAGACGGCAUGGCAAGUCUGAAGUGAAAGCCCGGGGCUCAACCGCGGGACUGCUUUGGAAACUGUUAAGCUGGAGUGCAGGAGAGGUAAGUGGAAUUCCUAGUGUAGCGGUGAAAUGCGUAGAUAUUAGGAGGAACACCAGUGGCGAAGGCGGCUUACUGGACUGUAACUGACGUUGAGGCUCGAAAGCGUGGGGAGCAAACAGGAUUAGAUACCCGAGUA